rnacentral:tRNA from 1 species
GCCCAUGUGGUGGAACUGGCAGACACGUCAGACUCAAAAUCUGAUGCUUUCACGAGCGUGGGGGUUCAAGUCCCUCCAUGGGCA